rnacentral:rRNA from 1 species
UACGUAGGUCCCGAGCGUUGUCCGGAUUUAUUGGGCGUAAAGCGAGCGCAGGUGGUUUAUUAAGUCUGGUGUAAAAGGCAGUGGCUCAGCCAUUGUAUGCAUUGGAAACUGGUAGACUUGAGUGCAGGAGAGGAGAGUGGAAUUCCAUGUGUAGCGGUGAAAUGCGUAGAUAUAUGGAGGAACACCGGUGGCGAAAGCGGCUCUCUGGCCUGUAAUUGACACUGAGGCUCGAAAGCGUGGGGAGCAAACAGG